rnacentral:rRNA from 1 species
UAACGGCGAGUGAACAGGGAACAAGCUCAAAGUUGGAAUCUAUCUGGCUUAGCCAGAUCGAAUUGUAAACUUUAGAGUCGUUGUCCAGACCAGCCGAGUAAAUAAGUUCCUUGGAAUAGGACAUCAUGGAGGGUGAGAAUCCCGUCUUUGGCUUGAGCAUUGGUCUUUUGUGAUGCGACUUCAACGAGUCAGGUUGUUUGGGAAUGCAGCCUUAAUUGGGUGGUAAAUCUCACCUAAAGCUAAAUAUUGGCGAGAGACCGAUAGCGAACAAGUACCGUGAGGGAAAGAUGAAAAGAACUUUGAAAAGAGAGUUAAACAGUAUGUGAAAUUGCUAAAAGGGAACCGUUUGAAGUCAGUCUGGCUGGUCUGCAAUCAGCUUCAACUUUGGUUGGAGUGCACUUGUAGGCCAUUUUGCCUGCCAACAACAGUUUGUUCUGCAGCAAAAAGGUGUUGAGAAUGUAGCUUUCUCUUCGGAGGAAGUGUUAUAGCUCUUCGCGAAAUACUGUGGUUCAGACUGAGGCUUGCAGUGAAUGCUAUUUUGGCUUUGGGGAUGGAUUGCUCAGUGCUUUGCUUGGUUAGUUUCGGCCGUCAAACGUCGUGCUGGCUAAAUAAAGUCUGACUCGGUUCAUUCACUUUUAAUUCACUUUGGUUG